AGAGUUUGAUCAUGGCUCAGAUUGAACGCUGGCGGCAGGCCUAACACAUGCAAGUCGAGCGGUAACAUUUCCAGCUUGCUGGGAGAUGACGAGCGGCGGACGGGUGAGUAACGCGUAGGAAUUUACCUGGUAGAGGGGGAUAGCCCGAGGAAACUCGGAUUAAUACCGCAUACGCUCUAAGGAGGAAAGUGUGCUUAGGCACACGCUAUCAGAUGAGCCUGCGUAGGAUUAGCUAGUUGGUGGGGUAAGGGCUCACCAAGGCGACGAUCUUUAGCUGUUCUGAGAGGAUGAUCAGCCACACUGGGACUGAGACACGGCCCAGACUCCUACGGGAGGCAGCAGUGGGGAAAGAAGGCCUUCGGGUUGUAAAGCACUUUCAUUAGUGAGGAAGUUCAGGUUGUUAAUAGCGGCUUGAAUUGACGUUAGCUGAGGAAGCAGCACCGGCUAACUCCGUGCCAGCAGCCGCGGUAAUACGGAGGGUGCGAGCGUUAAUCGGAAUUACUGGGCGUAAAGCGCGCGUAGGCGGUUUGUUAAGCGAGAUGUGAAAGCCCUGGGCUCAACCUGGGAAUGGCAUUUCGAACUGGCGGGCUAGAGUAUGAUAGAGGAGUGUGGAAUUUCCGGUGUAGCGGUGAAAUGCGUAGAGAUCGGAAGGAACAUCAGUGGCGAAGGCGGCACUCUGGAUUGAUACUGACGCUGAGGGGCGAAAGCGUGGGGAGCAAACAGGAUUAGAUACCCUGGUAGUCCACGCUGUAAACGAUGAGAACUAGCCGUUGGGGGACAAGAUUCCUUAGUGGCGUAGCUAACGCGGUAAGUUCUCCGCCUGGGGAGUACGGUCGCAAGAUUAAAACUCAAAUGAAUUGACGGGGGCCCGCACAAGCGGUGGAGCAUGUGGUUUAAUUCGAU
rnacentral:rRNA from 1 species